CUGCCCUGAUGACCAUCUUAGGACACCUUUGGAUUAAUGAUGAAACCACAAUCUUAGUCUGAGCAGC
ensembl:snoRNA SNORD58 Small nucleolar RNA SNORD58